rnacentral:rRNA from 1 species
AUUGAACGCUGGCGGCAGGCCUAACACAUGCAAGUCGAGCGGAUGAAGGGAGCUUGCUCCUGGAUUCAGCGGCGGACGGGUGAGUAAUGCCUAGGAAUCUGCCUGGUAGUGGGGGAUAACGUCCGGAAACGGGCGCUAAUACCGCAUACGUCCUGAGGGAGAAAGUGGGGGAUCUUCGGACCUCACGCUAUCAGAUGAGCCUAGGUCGGAUUAGCUAGUUGGUGGGGUAAAGGCCUACCAAGGCGACGAUCCGUAACUGGUCUGAGAGGAUGAUCAGUCACACUGGAACUGAGACACGGUCCAGGCUCCUACGGGAGGCAGCAGUGGGGAAUAUUGGACAAUGGGCGAAAGCCUGAUCCAGCCAUGCCGCGUGUGUGAAGAAGGUCUUCGGAUUGUAAAGCACUUUAAGUUGGGAGGAAGGGCAGUAAGUUAAUACCUUGUUGUUUUGACGUUACCAACAGAAUAAGCACCGGCUAACUUCGUG